rnacentral:rRNA from 4 species
AACGACUCUCGGCAACGGAUAUCUCGGCUCUCGCAUCGAUGAAGAACGUAGCGAAAUGCGAUACUUGGUGUGAAUUGCAGAAUCCCGUGAACCAUCGAGUCUUUGAACGCAAGUUGCGCCCGAAGCCAUCUGGCCGAGGGCACGUCUGCCUGGGCGUCACGCGUCUCUUCGCCCCCCC